rnacentral:rRNA from 1 species
UGUAUAUGCCUACAACGUUAAUGCACUAGAUCCCAUCAUAACUCCACAGUUAAGUGCAAUUGGACUAGAGUAGUACUAGGAUGGGUCACCUAUAGGGAAGUCUUGAGGUUUUACAU